UACAAAUAUAGAAAAUAAAUGUUAACAUUAUAACUAUUAUUACUAUGCUGUGAUAUUUCAUGUAAACAAUGAUUCUAUUUAUACAGUUUGAUAAGUUAUACUAACGAGCAAAAACAGUCGGACAUACUGUUAAUUGAUGUAUAUAAUUGACAUUUAAUUUAAAUGCGUUGAGGUUUGACGGCUUUACACACAAAAAACGUGCGUAUAUGUCGGUAUUAUAACCGUCCGAGUAUCUUGUUAUAGAAAAAUACAUUAACAGUUAACAUACAAGUAAGCGUGGCCUGUCAAUCUUAAUGACAAACUUAAUAUUGACCUCCUCAUAUAGUCAUAUAAACAAUAUUUUCUGUAGAAUACAAUGCCUGUGUUGUACUGAGACCUGAAGGGAGCGCAUCGUGUCGGCAGAUUUAAAAUGUGGAAUAUAUCAUUGACUUUAGUGAUGAUGUGUAUUGUGUUACAACUAACCAAUGCUCAGUUCGGUGGAUUCAGACAGUACUCGGAAUUCCGAGAUCCUGAAUGGCUGAUGGAUGAUCCACAUAAAUCUGACCGACUACCGAUGUGGAAUUAUUUAUUCGGUAAUAGAGGAUUCAGGUCACAUGGAAGAACUAUGACACACGGACAUGGAGGAAGUCAAACUAGAAAUUUGAACGGUUACAAUGGUAGAAAUACAAACUUCAUGUCAAUGUUUAUGAGCGCCGCUAAUUUUGAUUACUAGUUUAUUGUGAUUUGUAUGUUCACCAAUUGUUCUAGCGACUACAAGAUGACGAAAUAAAUGUAAG